GGAUUAGAUACCCUGGUAGUCCACGCCGUAAACGAUGGACACUAGUUGUUGGGGGGGUUACCCUUCAGUGACGUAGCUAACGCGUUAAGUGUCCCGCCUGGGGAGUACGCCCGCAAGGGUGAAACUCAAAGGAAUUGACGGGGGCCCGCACAAGCGGUGGAGCAUGUGCUUUAAUUCGAUGCAACGCGAAGAACCUUACCUGGGCUUGACAUGGGAGUGAAACUUCCUAGAGAUAGGAAGCCUUCCUUCGGGAACACUCUGCACAGGUGCUGCAUGGUUGUCGUCAGCUCGUGCUG
rnacentral:rRNA from 1 species